rnacentral:rRNA from 1 species
UACGUAGGGAGCAAGCGUUGUCCGGAAUCAUUGGGCGUAAAGAGCGUGUAGGCGGUCCGGUAAGUCGGCUGUGAAAGUCCAGGGCUCAACCCUGGGAUGCCGGUCGAUACUGCCGGACUAGAGUUCGGAAGAGGCGAGUGGAAUUCCCGGUGUAGCGGUGAAAUGCGCAGAUAUCGGGAGGAACACCUAUGGCGAAGGCAGCUCGCUGGGACGUUACUGACGCUGAGACGCGAAAGCGUGGGGAGCAAACAGG